GAUGAAGAACGUAGCGAAAUGCGAUAAGUAGUGUGAAUUGCAGAAUUCAGUGAAUCAUCGAAUCUUUGAACGCACAUUGCGCCUUCUGGUAUUCCGGGAGGCAUGCCUGUUCGAGCGUCAUUUCAACCCUCGACCUCCCCUUGGGGAGGUCGGCGUUGGGGACCGGCAGCACACCGCCGGCCCUGAAAUGGAGUGGCGGCCCGUCUGCGGCGACCUCUGCGUAGUAAUACAGCUCGCACCGGAACCCCGACGCGGCCACGCCGUAAAACACCCAACUUCUGAACGUUGACCUCGAAUCAGGUAGGACUACCCGCUGAACUUAAGCAUAUCAAUAAGCGGAGGA
rnacentral:misc_RNA from 1 species